rnacentral:rRNA from 1 species
UACAGAGGUCUCAAGCGUGUUCGGAUUCAUUGGGCGUAAAGGGUGUGUAGGUGGCGCCGUAAGUCGGGUGUGAAAUUUCGGAGCUUAACUCCGAAACUGCAUUCGAUACUGCGGUGCUUUGAGGACUGGAGAGGAGACUGGAAUUCAUGGGUGACGCAGUGAAAUGCGUAGAGAUCAUGAGGAAGACCAGUGGCGAAGGCGGGUCUCUGGACAGUUCCUGACACUGAGACACGAAGGCCAGGGGAGCAAACGGG